rnacentral:rRNA from 1 species
GUAGUUAGCCGGGGCUUCCUCCUCAGGUACCGUCACUUCCUUCGUCCCUGAGGACAGAGGUUUACAAUCCGAAAACCUUCUUCCCUCACGCGGCGUUGCUGGGUCAGGCUUUCGCCCAUUGCCCAAUAUUCCCCACUGCUGCCUCCCGUAGGAGUCUGGGCCGUGUCUCAGUCCCAGUGUGGCCGUUCACCCUCUCAGGUCGGCUACCCAUCGUCGCCUUGGUGGGCCCUUACCUCACCAACUAGCUAAUGGGACGCGAACUCACCCCAAACCGGAUCGCUCCUUUUACCUCAUCCCCAUGCGAGGACGUGGUCUUAUGCGGUAUUAGCAGAUGUUUCCAUCUGUUAUCCCCCUGUCUGGGACAGAUUGCUCACGCGUUACUCACCCGUCCGCCGCUCGAACUCGGGCCGAAACCCAAGUCCUCGCUCGACUUGCAUGUGUUAAGCACGCCGCCAGCGUUCGUCCUGAGCCAGAAUCGAACCCUGA